UUUUUUUUUUUUUUUUUUUUUUUUUUAACCUUUUU
rnacentral:ribozyme from 12 species